rnacentral:rRNA from 1 species
ACGAACGCUGGCGGCGUGCUUAACACAUGCAUGUCGAACGGAAAGGCCCUGCUUUUGUGGGGUGCUCGAGUGGCGAACGGGUGAGUAACACGUGAGUAACCUGCCCUUGACUUUGGGAUAACUUCAGGAAACUGGGGCUAAUACCGGAUAGGAGCUCCUGCUGCAUGGUGGGGGUUGGAAAGUUUCGGCGGUUGGGGAUGGACUCGCGGCUUAUCAGCUUGUUGGUGGGGUAGUGGCUUACCAAGGCUUUGACGGGUAGCCGGCCUGAGAGGGUGACCGGCCACAUUGGGACUGAGAUAAGGCCCAGACUCCUACGGGAGGCAGCAGUGGGGAAUAUUGAAAAAUGGGCGGAAGCCUGAUGCAGCAACGCCGCGUGCGGGAUGACGGCCUUCGGGUUGUAAACCGCUUUCGCCUGUGACGAAGCGUGAGUGACGGUAAUGGGUAAAGAAGCACCGGCUAACUACGUG